CGCGCACGCUUCCCGAGCUAGGGUUAGAACGAGACCCAACAAAGUCCCAAACCACAACCCGCCGCCGCCGCUUUCAUGCCUGCCUGCCUCUCAACCCUAGCUAGGGUUUCCGCCGCGCCGCCGCCGCUUCCCGAGUCCCGAGCUAGGGUUAGUGUGCCUAUAUAUAGAACGAGACCCAACGAAGUCCCAAACCAUCCCGAGAAUCACCCAUUCCUACCGCCGCCGCUUUCCUGCGCCUGCUGCCUCUCUCGCUCCCAGCGCGACCGACCGAAACCCUAGGGCUCCGGCGCGCCGCCGCCCAUAAACCAUGGUCGCCGACGCCCGAGAUCCGCGCACACCUAGCUCUCCCCUGCCCAACUCCGCCUCCACCUUGCUCGACGACCGCCCUGCCGUCCACGAUCUCGAUCCGGGAAUUGAAGAAUCUACAGGAGGCAACUCACCUGGAAUUUACAGGAGGCCUGCAGACCUAGCUUUCUGGCGGCACUCGAAGCCCCUAGUGGCGAAUGGCGAUGGCAACUGCAGGCCGUCGAUCUAGGGACACCGUUUGUGUCCCUCUUCUUCUGCGGCUUCGUCCCUGACCAGUACCACGACGGAUGAGGUCCGGUGAGCAGCAAACUAGAACAGGGAAGGAGAUCGGAAUGCCUGCUUGUCGUCAUGAGGCCGUGCCAUGCCAUGACGACGAACAAGUAAGGCCGCAUGUGGUGCUCCUGCUCCUCUGAUCGAUUCACUUCCAUCCAAUCGCAUCGCCGCUUCCUGCUUGGCAAGGUACGUACGGCCAUAUCUAAUCCCACGCCGGCCAUGUCUUUGUCUCGUCUAAUUAAUUGAGGUCCUGAACCAACUAUAUAUGAAGAGGACACUCUUAAUGAAUGAUCGAUGUGUCUUAAGAAAUUUCUCUUGUUUCAUUCCUAGGCCCCCCUCAGAUUUCUCUUUUGUCUUUGCUUGCUAUGUAAAUUGUAUGUUGCCUCUGCUUUUCUACUCUUGGGAUGCAGAAAGCUACUUUAAGUCCUUUAAUUUAAGUUUCUUUGUGUAAUCUAAUUAUUAUUGCUUCCUGUCCGUGGAGUUAAUAUUGUGUCGAUGCAGUACAACAAUACCUUACUUUUCUCUUGUAUAUAUCCAUGCAUGUUGUGUUGCUACAGUAAGUCCUUUAAUAUAAGUUUAUUUGUGUAAUCUAAUUAUUAUUGCUUCGUGUCCGUGGAGUAAAUAUUGUGUUGAUGUAGUAUAACAAUACCUUACUUUUCUCUUGUAUAUAUCCAUGCAUGUUGUGUACGUGGGAUAAGGACAUAUAUAGUUGUAUGUGGUUUUUGGGUAAGAUAGGCUGGGGGAGCCGAAAAACAUGCGUUGAGAGUAGGGCUAUAGCAGAAAAAGAAUGUACAUGAAAAAUUAGAUUUGUAAAAACAAUAUAUACAUUUGUUUUUUUUCUUACUUGGCUGACAAAAGCUUUACUUCUCAACCAAAUGCUAAAACUUCACCAACGCAUACCUGUCAUCGGACCGGUUUUGCAGUCAACGGAGGUGUGUGCGGGGGUGCGGAGCGUGCCGGCGGGAGACGGGUGGUGCAGGGGCUGAGAACUCGAACUUGGGCUAGGAAUUAAGACCCUGACAAAAUUGUAGAAGUGUACGUAGUUAUUCAUGCAUGGACUGAGUGAGUAACUAGUAACCAGAUCUAGUUACUCAUUGACAAAAAUUUGAAGUUUCUCUUGCUCUCAUCCUAAUUCCUACGAGCUGUUAAAUAUGCAAGUUUGAGGAUUGUAUUAGGGAAAUAAGUAUACUAAACUAGAAAAGAGGAAAAAAAUAUGUUGACUGUCCGUGGUUCACACAUGCUCUUUUGGUCUUAUUUAUUUUUCUCUUAUAUUCCUAAUGGUUAUGCAUUCCUCACAACCGUGAAAAACACCGUAUUGAUACUUUAAUAUGAAAACAUUGUUACUGUUUAUUCAUUUGAUUGUACUACAUUUUUGUAUUUGUUUACUGAUCUUAUUAUUAGUAUAAAAGUUAUCUUUUUUUUUUGCUUUGGUUUUUUGAACCACUUCUUCAUGCUUACCCGAUGUAAGAGGUGUCUUGUGUAUAAAUCACAAUUGUGGCAUAAUGUAAGAUUUAUGGCCAAACCGUUUUUUUAAUAUAUGUUGAAUAAUCAUCUAGGGGCAGGAGAGUUAGUGGGCAUAUUGCACGCAUUCAACAUAACCUUGGUAAGAAAGACAUGCACAAAAUUAUUAUGUUUUUUCUUUUCAUAUUUGUAAUUGUGAGAUAAGAUACGAGCUAUAAUGUUAGUUAAUUCCUUUCUCAAGUAUGAGUUCAGAAUGAGUCGUCCUUACUGAACAAUUAAUGCUUGAACUAUGAGUGCAAAGGAGAUUUCAUAGGAUUUGUGUAUGGAGAAUUGAGAAACCGAAAGAAAUGUUUUCCACAGAGCUGGUGAAAUAAGGAUCAAGUGUCUACAACCUCAGUAGAGCGCAUCAUAUAUAUUUUCAUUACACGAAACCUCUACUGACUUGAGAAAUGAGGAGGUCCUCCAAAAUUAGGAAAUGGUUGUUCAUGGGUUUUUCCAAAAUGUGGCCCUCCAAGAUCAUGUGCUCAGCACCAGAUGAGUCAUCUCAUGGUGCACCAUUUUAGAAAUUGCCAUCAAACAUCCAUUUCCUGAUUUUGGAGGACCUGACCAUUUCAGAUCAGUAGGAGUCUCCUGUAAUGAAAAUUUGGUGUCCUCUGCUGACAAUGGUAGACACCUUGAGUAUGGUUUCACCAGCACUAUGUCGAAAUUGUCUCUUUAGGAUCCUCAAUUUUCCAUACAUAAAUCCUAUAUAUGAUCUCCAUUGCACUCAUAGCUCAAGCAUUGUUCAACAACGGCAAUCGACCCUUUCUGAUCUGACUGUUACUUGAGAAAAAAAGCAGCGAGCACAUCAACACUAAAGAAAAAACAGUUUUGUGUAUGUCUUUCUUACGGCCAAGGCUGUGUCGAAUGCGUGCAAUAUACCCACUGGCUCUGAUCGUACAACUAGAUGACUUUUCAACAUAUACUGAAGAAACGUACUGUUCGGCCAUAAAUCUUACAUUAUCUGGCAAUUGUGAUCUAUAUGCACAAGACGCCUGCUAGAUCGCGUAAGAAUGAAAAGCAGUUCGAAACCAAAGCAAGAAAAUAAUUUUGUGAAUAGUGGAAUCAAUAAACAGAUGCAAAAGGCAUGUCAAUAACGUUUUCUACAAAAAGUAAUUUUGUGAAUUCUGCAAAAUUUGCUUCCGGUGAUAGAUGCCCGAACAGAAGCAUAGAAUUUGCUUCCGGCACAUGCUCUUUCAUAGGUGUUUUUUGUUUCUUGUAUGAUCUCUCGUGACAGCAACACCUAGUUUUCUCUGAAUUGCACAAUAAUACACCCACAACUUCGCUAAGAUCCUCGACAUUUUCUUGUGUUACGUCUUUGCUUUUCUCUUGUUUUCGACAUGACGGCCUGCAGUACAUCGUCAUCAAGUGCAGCCUCGCCUUCAUUGUGGCGUUCCUCAUCAACGUCGCUGUGGUUAAUCCUCGCGGGAUCUAUCUGUCGUUAGAACAAUCUCUCCCCUGCCGAUGCCAUCAAGUGCGGCGACCUUACUGACCGUCUGCUGUUGAAAUGUUCAAUCCAGCUUCAAGAGCACCUUGCAGCAUGUUAUGCCGACGCAUCUGAUGCUAGAGAGUUCCAAUUUUGUUGUUGAAAACUUGGAGAGUUCGAAACGACAUAAAUAAAGACUCUUCUUAGACACAUAUGAUGAUCAAAUGGGUGCGGACGGUGGUGAUCGCUUGGAUCUUCGGUGCGCCGCUCCUCUUCGUCGUCGUCUUCACGCUCAUGUCCGCCUAGCUACCUUGUCGCCGUGGUGUACCUGACGUUCAGGAGUGGUCACAUAUGUCCCGGUGGCGGUGACGGAGACCAGACGGCGCUGUUCAGGAAGGACCUAGCGGAGGCAUCCAUGUAGCACAUGAUUUUGAUGAGAGUGAGAGAUGGUCGCUGGUUGUGUUUUAGUAUAUGUUAUUGUGAGAUUGGCUUGCAUUUUAUGUGCCUUCGCUUAUGCUGCUGUUGUCCAUGUGCUUGGUGAUAUGCUACAAAAUAGUUAAUACUUCCACGUCUACAGUUUCCAGUUGCUUGAAUUGUUUGGAAAUCUUGGUCAACUAGGAUUGGCUUAUCAUCGUAAAAUUGCAUUCUUCAGAGCGUAA